AACGUAGGAGACAAACGUUAUCCGGAGUUACUGGGCGUAAAGGGCGUGCAGGUGGCUUGAUAAGUUCGGCGUGAAAUUUCCCGGCUUAACCGGGGGAUGUCGUCGGAGACUGUCGAGCUAGAGGGUGAUAGAGGCGUGUGGGAAUUCCGGGUGUAGUGGUGAAAUGCGUAGAGAUCCGGAGGAACACCAGUGGCGAAGGCGACACGCUGGGUCAUACCUGACACUAAAACGCGACAGCAUGGGGAGCGAACGGG
rnacentral:rRNA from 1 species